rnacentral:rRNA from 1 species
GCUUAACACAUGCAAGUCGACUGGAAUUCUUCUUCGGAAGAUAGUACGGUGGCGGACGGGUGAGUAACGCGUAAAGAAUUUGCCCUUCAGACUGGGACAACUAAUCGAAAGGUUAGCUAAUACCGGAUAUUAUGAGACCUUGGCAUCAAGGACUUAUGAAAGCUAUAUGCGCUGAAGGAGAACUUUGCGUUCCAUUAGGUAGUUGGUAGGGUAAUGGCCUACCAAGCCGACGAUGGAUAGCCGGCCUGAGAGGGUGAACGGCCACAAGGGGACUGAGACACGGCCCUUACUCCUACGGGAGGCAGCAGUGGGGAAUAUUGGACAAUGGACC